CAGAAUGCCACGGUGAAUACGUUCCCGGGCCUUGUACACACCGCCCGUCACACCAUGGGAGUGGGUUGCAAAAGAAGUAGGUAGCUUAACCUUCGGGAGGGCGCUUACCACUUUGUGAUUCAUGACUGGGGUGAAGUCGUAACAAGGUAACCGUAGGGGAACCUGCGGUUGGAUCACCUCCUUA
rnacentral:rRNA from 1 species